rnacentral:rRNA from 1 species
UUGAACGCUGGCGGCAGGCCUAACACAUGCAAGUCGAACGGUAACAGAAAGCAGCUUGCUGCUUUGCUGACGAGUGGCGGACGGGUGAGUAAUGUCUGGGAAACUGCCUGAUGGAGGGGGAUAACUACUGGAAACGGUAGCUAAUACCGCAUAACGUCGCAAGACCAAAGAGGGGGACCUUCGGGCCUCUUGCCAUCGGAUGUGCCCAGAUGGGAUUAGCUUGUUGGUGGGGUAACGGCUCACCAAGGCGACGAUCCCUAGCUGGUCUGAGAGGAUGACCAGCCACACUGGAACUGAGACACGGUCCAGACUCCUACGGGAGGCAGCAGUGGGGAAUAUUGCACAAUGGGCGCAAGCCUGAUGCAGCCAUGCCGCGUGUAUGAAGAAGGCCUUCGGGUUGUAAAGUACUUUCAGCGGGGAGGAAGGGAGUAAAGUUAAUACCUUUGCUCAUUGACGUUACCCGCAGAAGAAGCACCGGCUAACUCCGUGCCAGCAGCCGCGGUAAUACGGAGGGUGCAAGCGUUAAUCGGAAUUACUGGGCGUAAAGCGCACGCAGGCGGUUUGUUAAGUCAGAUGUGAAAUCCCCGGGCUCAACCUGGGAACUGCAUCUGAUACUGGCAAGCUUGAGUCUCGUAGAGGGGGGUAGAAUUCCAGGUGUAGCGGUGAAAUGCGUAGAGAUCUGGAGGAAUACCGGUGGCGAAGGCGGCCCCCUGGACGAAGACUGACGCUCAGGUGCGAAAGCGUGGGGAGCAAACAGGAUUAGAGACCCUGGUAGUCCACGCCGUAAACGAUGUCGACUUGGAGGUUGUGCCCUUGAGGCGUGGCUUCCGGAGCUAACGCGUUAAGUCGACCGCCUGGGGAGUACGGCCGCAAGGUUAAAACUCAAAUGAAUUGACGGGGGCCCGCACAAGCGGUGGAGCAUGUGGUUUAAUUCGAUGCAACGCGAAGAACCUUACCUGGUCUUGACAUCCACAGAACUUUCCAGAGAUGGAUUGGUGCCUUCGGGAACUGUGAGACAGGUGCUGCAUGGCUGUCGUCAGCUCGUGUUGUGAAAUGUUGGGUUAAGUCCCGCAACGAGCGCAACCCUUAUCCUUUGUUGCCAGCGGUCCGGCCGGGAACUCAAAGGAGACUGCCAGUGAUAAACUGGAGGAAGGUGGGGAUGACGUCAAGUCAUCAUGGCCCUUACGACCAGGGCUACACACGUGCUACAAUGGCGCAUACAAAGAGAAGCGACCUCGCGAGAGCAAGCGGACCUCAUAAAGUGCGUCGUAGUCCGGAUUGGAGUCUGCAACUCGACUCCAUGAAGUCGGAAUCGCUAGUAAUCGUGGAUCAGAAUGCCACGGUGAAUACGUUCCCGGGCCUUGUACACACCGCCCGUCACACCAUGGGAGUGGGUUGCAAAAGAAGUAGGUAGCUUAACCUUCGGGAGGGCGCUUACCACUUUGUGAUUCAUGACUGGGGUG